GGAGCCACGCCUGCCUGGUGCAGCAGGCUUUAUACGCCUUUAACAACUGUGUGGCAGCACAUUAAGCCUUUUGUAGGAUGGAAAUACACUUAAGGGAGAAGCUUCACCUGUUCACAUUCUGCCUGUCAGACGUUUUAUUAAUUUUGGUGCAGAAAUAUUUUUGUUAGUUAAUUCAUGACUUAUUUGUUUGUUUUACUGAAUAUUCUCAGGGAGAGGCACUUCUGGAAUUUUCUGCCUCAAGUGCCAAAAUACCUUGGCUACCCUUGGGUGCAAUGGCUUUGGUUGUGGAGUCGAAGCCAUGUCAUCCCAGGCAGUACAAUGUUUUGGGCCAGCCCUGUUUGAAAGUUGAAUAUUUUGCGAUGGCUGAUAAGAAUAUUUGGAGCAGAAAUCACAUUCUGUUUACACCUAUUCUACUUCAUCGCUGCAAAGACUGGCAGAACAGACAAUUUCUGAGAGAACAGAUACCUAAGGAAACACAGCUGGUAAAGAGAUACCCCAUGUGAUUGCUACAGGUUUCUCAACACGGAAUGCAAGCCUACGGAGGGAAGCUUCAUCCAAGCCAAAGACCUUGCAGAUAUGAUUCAUUGUUGAGGCCAAGAUGGCAAUGUCACAACCCAAAGAGAGGAAUGGGAUAGGAAUCAACCCCACACUACAAGACAACAUAGCUCGUUUCCAUAUAAGGCUCUCCAUAGCAGCCUUUUUCUUUUUAAUGCCUUCUUUUGUUAAAAUUGGCAUAAACAUAAUUAAAACAUCUCUCUUGAUUUUAUCCUGUUCCUUCUCAAUGGUGUCUUGCAGCAGGGGGAAAUCAUACUUGCUCAAAUCCCACCUUGAUAUUAGAAACACCCUUGGAGAAGACUCUCCUAAAGCCUUCAAAUUCUCACAGCAGUUUUUCCAUAUCUUCUCAAGGGUUUUCUUCUCACUGAAGUCUCUUUUCCGACUUUCAGAAUCUAUGUUGACAUCCACUUUGGUACGCACAUAGUAGAAUCUCUUGUUCAGUUUCUUAAUUUCAGAAGCCAACUUGGUAUCAUUCUCAGUGAAGCGUUCUGAGGCAACAAUUAUGAAGAAAUCAUACUUGUUAAAAUUGACUUUCUGUAGGUAUUCCUUUGCUUUAAAUGCAGGUGUUCCAAUUCCUGGUAGAUCCCAAAUUUUGAGUUUUGGGAAUGUGGGAUACUGAUAUUCUUUUAGUUCCUUGGUUGUUUCUAUCACAUCAGUCUUGGCUGCUCCGUCAUCAUCAUCUUUCAUACCCAGCAGAGCAUUGACUAAAGAUGAUUUGCCGG